rnacentral:lncRNA from 1 species
UCUUGAGUGAUUGUUCGAGCAUGCAUGUUUCUCACUAGAACUUGUCUUGGUUUCUCCCUCGAGGUCACAUAGGGUGCUUAAUAACUUUGAGAUGAUAGAAGGUCAUCUUUACUAGCAUAUAUUUCCCAUAUUUGUCCUUUUACUAUAUAUGAUCCUAGUUCGCCCCCUUUGAGCCCUAUUAUCCAUAUUCUUUGAUUUAGCCUUAGGUGGGAGCUUGGAAAUUGUUGAUAUGGGGUAGUUGGCGUUGUGGAGAUGUGUGAUUAUGAAUUAUGAAUUUUGUUCUUGAUUGGAAAAAAU